rnacentral:lncRNA from 1 species
CUCUACCGAUGCCUCCUUCGCCGCAAGGCUUCAUCCAAGAUCACCAGCUCACCUCGACGGGGCCACGAAGAGCAGGAGGGCACAUCGGGGCCUAAACGAUCUCGCCACCUCCAUGAUGCCUGUGAGGUCAAAGGCCAUGAGGUAUUAGGCCUAUAGAUUGGAUGUUAUUGCAAAAUUACUCAAUUUAACAUAUUAAAUUUGUAUCAAAUUUAAAUAACCAAAAGUGAAAUAUAUUUGUUCCAUGAUAAACUACAAGUUCCAAGGAAUCUGGGGAUAUGAAAUUUGUCAAAUUCGGACUUACGGUCUAGGAGAUAUGGAUUUUCAAAGUUUGGGUAUGUUUCUGGAAAUCAAUUACGAGAUUUUACAGAGAUACUCCACGUGGCAGGAUGUGGUUGGUGCAUACCCCUUCAUAUAAGAACACGUUUGAGGAUGAAUGGCUGGGUGCUCACCGAAGUUGACUGCCGGCGACGAAGUAGACGGCUGCUCCGGCGAAUUAGGAGUGGUGGACGGUGGAGAGGAGGUCUCUUUGAAGACUAUGGAGUAGGAUAUAUAUGGAGACGAACUCGUUCUGCACGUGCACCACGGGCUUGCUGGAAUCCUACCGGCGCGGCGGUGGAACUUGAUCUCGUCGGGCAAGUGCUCCCGCUGUGAAAUUGAGAGGUUUGAAGGGUCAGAGAGGUGAACAUGUGACAUAGAAUAAUAAUUUUGCAGGAAUUAGGGCAUGAGUCCCACGUACGGCGAUGCUACCUUCGUCAAUUCAUGGCUACAUUGAGGAACUCAGCGAGAGAUUCCUCUGUGUACAACGGAAUAGGGAGAGGGGUUUUAU